rnacentral:lncRNA from 1 species
GUCGCGGGUGGAUCCCCGGCCGGCGCAACGCCCGCGCAGUAGGCGGAGCAGACGCCGUGGUGUCAGAUGGAGUCCCAAGUGUGAGUGUUCUUCUGCAGCCGGAACAGGCGCACCUAUGAGGAAACUGAGGCUCACGACCUGUCCAAGGUCACCAAGAUGGAGCCUGGAGGACAAGGGGGAAGAUGGAGGGCCCUGGCCUCCUGAUGCCCACUGCCUUUGAUCAGCCCGUGGUCCCUUCUCUACCCCAGGGCACUCCUCCUCAAGGGGUGGGGUCGCCAGACUUCACCAGCCUCCGGGGCCAAGAUGACUCUGAGUAGAGCUCACCCCACUCUCCGAGGAAGCUCUUGGCUCCAAGAAAUGCAGACCAUGCCUGGGUUUGCUGCCCUUCCCAGGCCGUUGCCGCCCUGCUUCCAAGGCCUGGUGGCCCCCGGGGCUGCCGCUCCUAGUGGAAUGUCCUGGUCAAGAGGCCCUGCUGGCUGCUCCAAUGACUUAAGAACCAUCUAUGAGUCCUGGCUCUAACCUUAAGCAAGUCAUUCCACCUCUCUAGGCCUCUGUUUUUCCAGCUGUAAAAUAAGGAUGAUAGUAUCUAUUUAACUCCUGGAUUGUUAUCAUGACUCAAUAAAGAUAAUAGGAAAAUACGUAACCC